rnacentral:misc_RNA from 1 species
AGCUUCUAAACAAGUUGAAUAUUAUUAAAUUGGAAUUCAUCUUGUUUAUUAAAUGAGCUUAAACAUGUGGUUGGAGCUCUUGUUUAUAAAUCGAGUUAAAUUAUAAAUUGAGUUGAAUUAAAUCAAGUUUAACUUUUAUCAAGUUGAGUAUCAAACAACCUGCGAUCAGCUUAGUAGGUGUGCACCCCUAACAUUCUCUAAUCGCUUUCCAUGAAGGAAAAGAUA